rnacentral:lncRNA from 1 species
UGCUACUUUAUACCAUUCUCAUCUGCUCUUAGCAGCACUUGACUUAACUUAGCAGUAGAAAGAAGAAGUUGGAACCUAGCUGAACUGCUAGUGAGAAUGCCAUGCCAUCAACGAUUGGUGCUAAAGGAACUUGAUCCACUACACUUAGAAACAAAAAGAAGAGAAAAACAGCAGCCAGCCAGCCAGCCAGCCAUAUAAUAUAAAAAAUUAGAUAAGAUUUUUCUUUUUUUACUAAAAUACAAGUACUAGUAUUAGAUAAGAUUUGUCCGUACCUUACCAUUUAUAAUCUCACACUCCGUCGUGGAGUGACCAGUACUAGUAUCUAUCUAUCUACAUUUUCUUCCCCCUUCCCCUUUUCCAAAUCCACCACCUACUUUACUUACCACUUUAACUCACCCCAACCCAAUCUUUCUUCCCCCAUAUAUCUAUCCAUUUCAAUCUCUC